UUCAGGAUGGGGACAACAGACGGAAACGACUGCUAAUACCGAAUAAGUUCCAAGAGCCGCAUGGCCCAUGGAAGAAAGGUGGCCUCUACCUGUAAGCUAUCGCCUGAAGAGGGGUUUGCGUCUGAUUAGCUGGUUGGAGGGGUAACGGCCCACCAAGGCGAUGAUCAGUAGCCGGUCUGAGAGGAUGAACGGCCACACUGGAACUGAGACACGGUCCAGACUCCUACGGGAGGCAGCAGUGGGGAAUCUUCCGCAAUGGGCGAAAGCCUGACGGAGCAACGCCGCGUGAGUGAUGACGGCCUUCGGGUUGUAAAACUCUGUGAUCCGGGACGAAAAGGCAGAGUGCGAAGAACAAACUGCAUUGACGGUACCGGAAAAGCAAGCCACGGCUAACUACGUGCCAGCAGCCGCGGUAAUACGUAGGUGGCAAGCGUUGUCCGGAAUUAUUGGGCGUAAAGCGCGCGCAGGCGGCUUCCCAAGUCCCUCUUAAAAGUGCGGGGCUUAACCCCGUGAUGGGAAGGAAACUGGGAAGCUGGAGUAUCGGAGAGGAAAGUGGAAUUCCUAGUGUAGCGGUGAAAUGCGUAGAGAUUAGGAAGAACACCGGUGGCGAAGGCGACUUUCUGGACGAAAACUGACGCUGAGGCGCGAAAGCGUGGGGAGCAAACAGGAUUAGAUACCCUGGUAGUCCACGCCGUAAACGAUGGAUACUAGGUGUAGGAGGUAUCGACCCCUCCUGUGCCGGAGUUAACGCAAUAAGUAUCCCGCCUGGGAA
rnacentral:rRNA from 1 species